AAAAUGUCACUAGUGGCAGUAUCAUAGCCGAUGAGGUUUAUCCGAGGUGCAAUUAUUGCUAAUUGAAAACUUUUCCCAAUACCCCACCAUGACUACUUGAAAUAUAGUCAGCACUGGCAAUUUUUAAGUCGCUGCAGAGA
ensembl:snRNA U4 U4 spliceosomal RNA